AAAAAAAAAGGCCAUCUAAGAUGGCUGCCAAGGAUCUGGCAUGGUGUUUGGCAGGCACUGUGUGGUCUAACUUGUAGUCUGAAAGUCACCCACUCAGUGAAAAAAGGCAUCAACUUCAAUCUACUUCAUUGUUUGGAUAAUUCCUCUCUUCUACUAAGCUCAACAUGUCUAAGAAAAAGUAACAAUGUAUCCCUGCUUCAAGCCAAACGGAGUCAGGACAUGCUAAAAGGUUAGUACAGGUUGACCAUACAUAACUGUCUUUACUUCCCUGGUGAUAGUCCUCUUGAUUGAUGAUGUUGAACUAAAACUUGGGCCUCUGUUGUCAACUGGACCAGCCUCACAACUAGCUGGCUGCCAGUUGGAACACCACCUCUGCUAGCUAGCCUAACACGACUACAGCAAACACUGAAAGCUGAGUUGACAUGCCUGCCGGCUGGGCCCCCACCGCUGUUAUUUGGGCGAACAUCAUUGCCACUUGGACCUCAACCUCUGACAUUUAAACAUCUGUAGUCCAAUGCCGAAAACAGAUGAUUGUAUGAUUUCAGCCAUAACAGAGCUGAUAGAAAAAAUAAAUCAAAAUGAACAAUACACUGGUUUUCAUCAUUUCUUUAGUUCAAUGUGUGUUAAAAUUGGUUGAGGUAAAUCUCCAUUGCAAAAAUAAAAAAUGAUUAUUCCACAGAGCGGCCCGGUGCUCGACUGUUUAGUGCGUCGGCCUUCCUGUGAGGAGUUUGCAUGUUCUUCUCGUGCUUGUGUGGGUUUUUUCUAGGUGUGAGUGCGCAUGGUUGUUCUUCUAUGUGUGCCCUGCGAUUCAGGCUGUUCCCCGACAACUGCCCGAGGACGGCUGGGGAUAGGCUCCAGCACCCCCUGCGAUCCUUGUGAGGAUAAAACGGAUCGGAAAAUGGAUGGAUGGAUUCCACAGGGCUCCAUACUCGGGCCAUUGCCGUUUAGUCUCUUUAUAAAUGACUUGCUUGCCCACAAUCUGUGCUGAUGUCAGUUGCCAGCUGAAGGCGGAUGAUACAGUUCUCGAUGCCAAGAGACCACAGUGGGGGCUGAUCUAUCUACAUCUUUGGCCAAUGCCAGGCAGCGGCUCAAUAAAAAUCACUUGGUGCUGAAUCUUUCAAAAACUUUGUUAAUGUGU